CCUCAUAUGGGCCGAAAGACGUCAUGGACCAUACAUGGGCCGGAAGUUAAAACGGGCUAGAAUCAUAUUGGACGGCCCAGAUAACGCUACUGGGGCUAAUUCAAAUAGGUCGUAACGGGCCCUGGGUUAGCGGGCUGUAAAUGGGCUAUAUGCGAACAGGCCGUUAACAGGCUUUCCACGAUCCCAGCACCUAUAUGCGAUGAGUGACCUCCGCCCGCUGCACAACCAUCCUUCUGCAUCAAGCCUUUGUCCAUAGUUUGCAUCUCAUUGAAGUAGUCCACCAUUUGAUCUCGAGGGAUGAAUCAUUUCGAAGACCUUUCGAUGACCACUGUCAUUGUGGAGCCGCGGAAGGUCGCUGCAGCAUAGUAUGUAGCUACCACCGUCUUGGCCGACCAGAUCUAAAUCACCUCCGUUCAGAUCUGAAUCAGGGCAACCACGCCGGGUUAAUCAUGGACGACCCCGAGGCUGCUGGCAGUCCGGCAACAUCCGACCGCCGUGCUGACGUCGCUGCUGUACGACGACCCCCCUUGAACGAACAACGAAGGCACCACCAUAGAAGAGUAGCCACCCCGUGCAAGUGCAACCAAGGGAGCCAGCCACCGCAUCGCAGGCCGCCGUCGUCCGCUGCAUGCGCUAGGCAGCCAGCCGCCGUCGUCCGCUCCAUGUGCAGCCCCGAGCGCCGUUGCCAGAUGCAGAUCCCCCGCCACCAUCCAGCGCAAGAACUCGCGCCACCAGGAUCUGGUGCCCCCAGAUCGAAGCAGCCACGAGGAAGCGCCCCGCCGCCGCCGUCGGCCGCGCGGGCUUCGCCUGGCGGCGUCCUCCGGCGGCGGCGUGGCUGUGGACGGGAGCGGUCUGAGCUGAGCGGGUUGGGCGGCUCGCCCCCGUGUCGCCCUCUAAUGAGCGGGAGGCCAGCAAGUAGUACGAGCAGACACGCGCGAGAAAACCCUAGACCAAGAUGCGAACACCCUUCCCUGGUGCCUCGAUGCCUGACCGCCCCCGCCGGAGACACCCCAUCGCCGUGUCAAUCUCAUCUGUCGGGAUUGGAAUUGACUGGGUCAAGCUUCAUGCCUUCAAAGUAAAAUCUCAACAUGAAAAAAUUCGUCUAGGAGUAUGGCAGGAUACUUUUCCAAGAGCCUCAAUUGCAGGUACAGAUCAUAAAACCAAACCUAUUUCUACCAUUGAUCUGAAAUCAAACUAUUUCUUAUACCAUUGGUUUUUGGUUUCAUGUC